UACGUAGAGACCAAGCGUUGUUCGGAUUUACUGGGCGUAAAGGGCGCGUAGGCGGCGCGGUAAGUCACUUGUGAAAUCUCUGAGCUUAACUCAGAACGGCCAAGUGAUACUGCAGUGCUAGAGUGUGGAAGGGGCAAUCGGAAUUCUUGGUGUAGCGGUGAAAUGCGUAGAUAUCAAGAGGAACACCUGAGGUGAAGACGGGUUGCUGGGCCAACACUGACGCUGAGGCGCGAAAGCCAGGGGAGCAAACGGG
rnacentral:rRNA from 1 species